rnacentral:rRNA from 1 species
UGCCAGCAGCCGCGGUAAUACGGAGGGGGUUAGCGUUGUUCGGAAUUACUGGGCGUAAAGCGCGCGUAGGCGGAUUAGUAAGUUAGAGGUGAAAUCCCGGGGCUCAACCCCGGAACUGCCUUUAAUACUGCUAGUCUUGAGUUCGAGAGAGGUGAGUGGAAUUCCGAGUGUAGAGGUGAAAUUCGUAGAUAUUCGGAGGAACACCAGUGGCGAAGGCGGCUCACUGGCUCGAUACUGACGCUGAGGUGCGAAAGUGUGGGGAGCAAACAGGAUUAGAAACCCCCGUAGUCC